rnacentral:rRNA from 1 species
GUGGGGAAUAUUGGGCAAUGGGCGAAAGCCUGACCCAGCAACGCCGCGUGAGGGAAGAAGGCCUUCGGGUUGUAAACCUCUGUCCUUGGUGACGAAAAAAAUGACGGUAGCCAAGGAGGAAGCCCCGGCUAACUACGUGCCAGCAGCCGCGGUAAUACGUAGGGGGCGAGCGUUGUCCGGAAUUACUGGGCGUAAAGGGUGCGUAGGUGGCCUUUUAAGUUGGAUGUGAAAUACCCGGGCUUAACUUGGGGGGUGCAUCUAAUACUGGAGGGCUAGAGUGCAGGAGAGGGAAGCGGAAUUCCUAGUGUAGCGGUGAAAUGCGUAGAUAUUAGGAGGAAAACCAGUGGCGAAGGCGGCUUUCUGGACUGUAACUGACACUGAGGCACGAAAGCGUGGGGAGCAAACAGGAUUAGAUACCCCAGUAGUCC